GUGAUUCUUUGCUCCUACACUGGGGUGGGAUACGUGAUAGAAAGGCAAAGUGGGUGCUUCCUUUGCGUUGCCCAGAUGGAACAAAAAAUUAUAAGAACAGAGCCCUUAGAAGUCCUUUUGUGAAGUCUGGCACCAGUUCUUACCUCAAAAUAGAGAUCGAUGAUCCUGCAAUACAAGCCUUAGAGUUUCUUAUACUUGAUGAAGCGCGGAAUAAAUGGCUUAAAAAUAAGGGUGAUAACUUUCAUGUUAAGUUACCUGCGCGACAGAAGUUGAUAAUUCCAAAUAUCUCAGUUCCUGAAGAGCUUGUACAAAUUCAAGCAUAUCUGAGGUGGGAAAGAAAGGGUAAACAAAUGUAUACCCCAGAACAAGAAAAGGAAGAAUAUGAAGCUGCUCGUAUCGAGCUAUUGGAGGAAGUAACCAAGGGUAUUUCUGUUGAGGACCUCCGAGCAAGGCUGACAAACAAAAAUGAUAGAUAUGAAAUUAAGGAGCCAGCUGUGUCUAAAACA
rnacentral:misc_RNA from 1 species